rnacentral:rRNA from 1 species
GAUGAACGCUGGCGGCGUGCCUAAUACAUGCAAGUCGAGCGAACAGACGAGGAGCUUGCUCCUCUGACGUUAGCGGCGGACGGGUGAGUAACACGUGGAUAACCUACCUAUAAGACUGGGAUAACUUCGUGAAACCGGAGCUAAUACCGGAUAAUAUAUUGAACCGCAUGGUUCAAUAGUGAAAGACGGUUUUGCUGUCACUUAUAGCUGGAUCCGCGCCGCAUUAGCUAGUUGGUAAGGUAACGGCUUACCAAGGCAACGAUGCGUAGCCGACCUGAGAGGGUGAUCGGCCACACUGGAACUGAGACACGGUCCAGACUCCUACGGGAGGCAGCAGUAGGGAAUCUUCCGCAAUGGGCGAAAGCCUGACGGAGCAACGCCGCGUGAGUGAUGAAGGUCUUCGGAUCGUAAAACUCUGUUAUUAGGGAAGAACAAAUGUGUAAGUAACUAUGCACGUAUUGACGGUACCUAAUCAGAAAGCCACGGCUAACUACGUG